GAUGAACGCUGGCGGCGUGCCUAAUACAUGCAAGUCGAGCGAACAGAUAAGGAGCUUGCUCCUUUGACGUUAGCGGCGGACGGGUGAGUUACACGUGGAUAACCUACCUAUAAGACUGGGAUAACUUCGGGAAACCGGAGCUAAUACCGGAUAACAUAUUGAACCGCAUGGUUCAAUAGUGAAAGGCGGCUUUGCUGUCACUUAUAGAUGGAUCCGCGCCGUAUUAGCUAGUUGGUAAGGUAACGGCUUACCAAGGCAACGAUACGUAGCCGACCUGAGAGGGUGAUUGGCCACACUGGAACUGAGACACGGUCCAGACUCCUACGGGAGGCAGCAGUAGGGAAUCUUCCGCAAUGGGCGAAAGCCUGACGGAGCAACGCCGCGUGAGUGAUGAAGGUCUUCGGAUCGUAAAACUCUGUUAUCAGGGAAGAACAAAUGUGUAAGUAACUGUGCACAUCUUGACGGUACCUGAUCAGAAAGCCACGGCUAACUACGUG
rnacentral:rRNA from 1 species